rnacentral:tRNA from 1 species
UGAGGAAAAAUGCAGUGGCAGCAUGUCCCUUAUAGGAUAGGGAUUUACAGGUUCGAUUCCUGUCAUCCUCAC